rnacentral:rRNA from 1 species
UACGAAGGGGGCUAGCGUUGCUCGGAAUCACUGGGCGUAAAGGGUGCGUAGGCGGGUCUUUAAGUCAGAGGUGAAAUCCUGGAGCUCAACUCCAGAACUGCCUUUGAUACUGGCGAUCUUGAGUCCGGGAGAGGUGAGUGGAACUGCGAGUGUAGAGGUGAAAUUCGUAGAUAUUCGCAAGAACACCAGUGGCGAAGGCGGCUCACUGGCCCGGUACUGACGCUGAGGUGCGAAAGCGUGGGAAGCAAACAGG